rnacentral:lncRNA from 1 species
GAAACCCUGUCUCUACUAAAAAUACAAAAUACAAAAAAAAUCAGCCUGGCAUGGUGGCGGGCGCCUGUGGUCCCAGCUACUCUGGAGGCUGACGCAGGAGAAUGCCGUGAACCCGGGAGGCGGAGCUUGCAGAGAGCCGGAGAUCACGCCACUGCACUCCAGCCUGGGCUACAGAGCAAGACUCCGUCUCAAAAAAAACCAAAACAAAACAAAACAAAAAAAACACCCAGUUUUUCCAUGGAGUGAUAGAAUUUAAUUGAUGAGCUUGACGAGCUUAAUUACAGAAGGGAGAGCUCCAAAAUACAUGUCUGCAGCUUCACUCGUGCCUGAGCCAGCGAGAGCAGGAACCCACCAGAAGGAAGAAACUCCAAACACAUCCGAACAUCAGAAGGAACAAACUCCAGAUGCGCCACCUUAAGAGCUGUAACACUCACCACGAGGGUCCGGGGCUUCGUUCUUGAAGUCAGUGAGACCAAGAACCCACCAAUUCUGGACACAGGAGCACAGGUGUCUUUUCAAGAUUCUGAUUUCAUUUCCUUUGGAUGUAUACCCAGCAGUGGGAUUUGUGUUCAUAAGGAGAUUUUCCAUGUCUACUCUGGUGCCAUUACUGGAAGAUCCUUCCAUUUUCUACAAGGGAUUUUUACCUAUAUUGUUGAGAAGUGGAAUCCCCUUUGGUAGCUCUGUACCUUCAGCUUCUCCCUCUGUGGUAUCCAUUCCCUGCCACAACUAUAGAAUCUGCAAUCUGGAAAAAAUGACAUAACCACUAAAAA